rnacentral:rRNA from 1 species
AUUGAACGCUGGCGGCAUGCCUAACACAUGCAAGUCGAACGGAGGUAGGGGCAACUCUACUUCAGUGGCGGACGGGUGAGGAAUGCGUCGGAAUCUACCCUAUGGUGGGGGAUAACACAGGGAAACUUGUGCUAAUACCGCAUAAUGUCGAGAGACCAAAGCAGGGGGACCGCAAGGCCUUGCGCGAUAGGAUGAGCCGACGCCCGAUUAGCUAGUUGGUACGGGUAAAGGCCUACCAAGGCGACGAUCGGUAGCUGGUCUGAGAGGAUGAUCAGCCACACUGGGACUGAGACACGGCCCAGACUCCUACGGGAGGCAGCAGUGGGGAAUAUUGGACAAUGGGCGCAAGCCUGAUCCAGCAAUGCCGCGUGUGUGAAGAAGGCCUGCGGGUUGUAAAGCACUUUUGUUCGGAGAAAUCAUGCUGGUUAAUACCUGGUAUGGAUGACGGUACCGAAAGAAUAAGCACCGGC